rnacentral:lncRNA from 1 species
AUAUAUUUCAGUGUCAUUUCGCAAUAAGUCUGCUUGCCUUCAGGGUCUUCAAUCUCCUUAAAUAGGAUCACUAGAUUCGCUACAAAUAAGUUCAUACUGAAGGCUUCAUCAAGUUCUUGUUCCUGCAAUUUACAAAGAUGAGCAGUUUUCUAGCAAAGUUGGUUUUAGUCGUUGCAGCAUUGUAUCUUCUUCUCGGUGUUUUUCCUGCAACUUCUUCAUCACUUCCUCAUGGUAAUGAUGUUUUUCUUGUUGGCGUUUUUCAGCUUUAAUAUAAGUUUUCAAGGAUAAUUUCUUGCAACUGACAAUUUUCUUUCUUGCUGCGAUUUUCUUGUGGCUGAAGUCAACGAGAAGAAUACUUUAUCGCAGGUUGACUGUGGAGAUGGCUCGACAACGAUGAUUGGAAGAAAAGAAGGGAAGUUUGGUAGCCAAAGUGAGAUUGUUAGCAAGAAAACUGUGCCCGUCCGGCGCAGCCUAAGAUUAAUCCUUAAGUCGUCGCCGCCUUCACCCGUUAAAAACCCAACAAAGUCACAGGCAGGCACUGCACCUCCUCCACUUCUUAUAUGAUAAUGGCUAUAUAUGUUUAUAGUCAGUUUUCUUAAAAGCACCGGUUAGGCGGUUGGGCACGAUCACCGUAGUACAUAAGCAUUUAAAAAAUAAAAAAUAACGUCUAAACCUACUUUAGACAUCCGUCUAGAUCUGCUUAGAUCACGACUGUCACUUAGAUAUAAAUUUUAUCUUUCAUUUUGCAUUUUAUUUUCUAAUAAAUUGUAAGAGACUUAUAUGAUAGCUAGUUGGAUUAACACUCACUAUAUGCUUCUCCCCAUAUUUUCAAUAUGUUCUGUUAUUUAAAAUUUACAUGUCAUUCUAUUUUGCAAUUUAUAUAUUACAAGACAAUUAUGUAUUUUUUUUUUAAAUUUAGUAGACAUUUAUUCAUAUGUUUUAAUAAAUUUUGUUAAAAUUAGGUCUCACCUAUACGCUUAGGCGCUAGACUCUACCUGUUGCCCGAUUAGUGCCGAA